CAGCAGCCGCGGGAAUACGGAGGGUGCAAGCGUUAAUCGGAAUUACUGGGCGUAAAGCGCACGCAGGCGGUCUGUCAAGUCAGAUGUGAAAUCCCCGGGCUUAACCUGGGAACUGCAUUUGAAACUGGCAGGCUAGAGUCUUGUAGAGGGGGGUAGAAUUCCAGGUGUAGCGGUGAAAUGCGUAGAGAUCUGGAGGAAUACCGGUGGCGAAGGCGGCCCCCUGGACAAAGACUGACGCUCAGGUGCGAAAGCGUGGGGAGCAAACAGGAUUAGAUACUCGCGUAGUCCCUGUCUCUUAUAC
rnacentral:rRNA from 1 species